rnacentral:rRNA from 1 species
GAUGAACGCUAGCGGCGUGCUUAACACAUGCAAGUCGAACGGUGAACGAGGGAGCUUGCUCCCUCCGGAUCAGUGGCGAACGGGUGAGUAACACGUGAGCAAUCUGCCCCGAACUCUGGGAUAAGCGUUGGAAACGACGUCUAAUACCGGAUACGACGCGCGAAGGCAUCUUCUGCGCGUGGAAAGAAUUUCGGUUCGGGAUGAGCUCGCGGCCUAUCAGCUAGUUGGUGAGGUAAAGGCUCACCAAGGCGACGACGGGUAGCCGGCCUGAGAGGGUGACCGGCCACACUGGGACUGAGACACGUCCCAGACUCCUACGGGAGGCAACAGUGGGGAAUAUUGCACAAUGGGCGAAAGCCUGAUGCAGCAACGCCGCGUGAGGGACGACGGCCUUCGGGUUGUAAACCUCUUUUAGUAGGGAAGAAGCGAAAGUGACGGUACCUGCAGAAAAAGCACCGGCUAACUACGUGCCAGCCGCCGCCGUAACAC